rnacentral:rRNA from 1 species
AUUGAACGCUGGCGGCAUGCCUUACACAUGCAAGUCGAACGGUAACAGGUCUUCGGAUGCUGACGAGUGGCGAGCGGGUGAGUAAUACAUCGGAACGUGCCUAGUAGUGGGGGAUAACUACUCGAAAGAGUGGCUAAUACCGCAUGAGAUCUACGGAUGAAAGCAGGGGAUCGCAAGACCUUGUGCUACUAGAGCGGCCGAUGGCAGAUUAGGUAGUUGGUGGGAUAAAAGCUUACCAAGCCGACGAUCUGUAGCUGGUCUGAGAGGACGAGCAGCCACACUGGGACGGGGACACGGCCCAGACUCCUACGGGAGGCAGCAGUGGGGAAUUUUGGACAAUGGGCGCAAGCCUGAUCCAGCAAUGCCGCGUGCAGGAUGAAGGCCUUCGGGUUGUAAACUGCUUUUGUACGGAACGAAACGGUCCGGGUUAAUACCCUGGGCUAAUGACGGUACCGUAAGAAUAAGCACCGGCUAACUACGUGCCAGCCGCCGCCGUAACAC